UUAGAGUUUGAUCCUGGCUCAGGACGAACCCUUGCGGCGUGCCUAACACAUGCAAGUCGAGCGAAUGAAAUUCCUUCGGGAACGGAUUUAGCGGCGGACGGGUGAGUAACACGUGGGCAACCUGCCUCAUAGAGGGGAAUAGCCUUCCGAAAGGGAGAUUAAUACCGCAUAAGAUUGUAGUACCGCAUGGUACAGCAAUUAAAGGAGCAAUCCGCUAUGAGAUGGGCCCGCGGCGCAUUAGCUAGUUGGUGAGGUAACGGCUCACCAAGGCGACGAUGCGUAGCCGACCUGAGAGGGUGAUCGGCCACAUUGGGACUGAGACACGGCCCAGACUCCUACGGGAGGCAGCAGUGGGGAAUAUUGCACAAUGGGGGAAACCCUGAUGCAGCAACGCCGCGUGAGUGAUGACGGCCUUCGGGUUGUAAAGCUCUGUCUUCAGGGACGAAAAUGACGGUACCUCCAGAACAAGCCACGGCUAACUACGUGCCAGCAGCCGCGGUAAUACGUAGGUGGCAAGCGUUAUCCGGAUUUACUGGGUGUAAAGGGCGCGCAGGCGGCCCCAAAAGUCAGAUGUGAAAGAUCAAGGCUUAACUUUGACAUGUCAUCUGAAACUUUGGGACUUGAGUAUCAGAGGGGAAAGCGGAAUUCCUGGUGGAGCGGUAAAAUGCGCAGAGAUCAGGAGGAACACCGGUGGCGAAGGCGGCUUUCUGGCUGACAACUGACGCUGAGGCGCGAAAGCGUGGGGAGCAAACAGAAGGAGAUACCCUGGUAGUCCACGCCGUAAACGAUGAUUACUGGGUGUAGGGGGUAUCGACUCCCUCUGUGCCGAAGCUAACGCGAUAAGUAAUCCACCUGGGGAGUACGGCCGCAAGGCUAAAACUCAAAGGAAUUGACGGGGGCCCGCACAAGCAGUGGAGUAUGUGGUUUAAUUCGAGGCAACGCGAAGAACCUUACCAGGGUUUGACAUCCCGCGCUCGGGGUAGAGAUACCCUUUUCCCUUCGGGGACGCGGAGACAGGUGGUGCAUGGUUGUCGUCAGCUCGUGUCGUGAGAUGUUCGGUUAAGUGCCAUAACGAGCGCAACCCUCAUCAUUAGUUACCAUCAGGUUAAGCUGGGGACUCUAAUGAGACUGCCAUCGUAAGAUGCGAGGAAGGUGGGGAUGACGUCAAAUCAGCACGGCCCUUACGUCCGGGGCGACACACGUGUUACAAUGGGUGGUACAAAGGGCAGCUACAUGGCGACAUGAUGCUAAUCUCCAAAACCACUCUCAGUUCGGAUCGGAGUCUGCAACUCGACUUCGUGAAGCUGGAUUCGCUAGUAAUCGCGCAUCAGCCACGGCGCGGUGAAUACGUUCCCGGGCCUUGUACACGCCGCCCGUCA
rnacentral:rRNA from 1 species